UCUCUCUCUCUCUCUCUCUCUCUCUCUCCUUUGUUUCAAGUUUUCGAUUCAUGGGUGUUUGAUUUUUUUUUUGUUUCUGGUAAUGAUUGAAAAAGUUGACUCAAAAUUUGAACUUGAUAAGACAGAAGAAGAUAACCUAGGAAAACACAACAAUGUAACAACUGUUGAAACUGUUUCAAUUUCAGAACAAAAAGUGGUUAUGAAGGUUGAACCUGAUGAGGAUGUUGAAGUUAAUAUAAUUGGGAAUUCUGGUUUGAAAGGUGUGGAAGAUAGUUGUGUUGAUGUUAUUGAGAUUGAGAGUUCAAGUUCUAGUUCUUUUGAUGGUACAGGAUCUGAUACUGAGCUCAGUGAUUCCAAUGAUGAUGUUGAAACGCGGAAGCGUGAUGAGUGGCGUAAGUAUGUGAGAAAGAGAAAAGUGACUGAUCAUUGGAGGAAGUUCAUCCUUCCUAUAAUGCUGCGCUGUAAAUGGGUAGAGCUGAAACUGAGGAAACUUAACGCUAAAGCACGGAAAUAUGAAAAAGAGAUUGCGGCAUAUGAUCAACAAAAACUGCUUGAUUUUUUGAAGUUUGCAGUAGAUGAUUUUGAUGUCAAGUCAGUACCUAGAUCUGAAGGAAUUCAAAGGCAUAAAGUCAUGAGGAGACAGAAAAGGAAGAGAGCUGAAGAAUGUGAUCCAUCAUUGUAUAUGUCAAACCAUCGUUUAUUCUCUUACUAUGAGAAUAAAAACCGAGAUAAUGUUGGUCCCGUGGAAGAUCUUCCCAGUGAUGUUGUGAGUGAUGUUGAUUGUGCUGAUAAUGUUUGGGAGUUCAAGGUGAAUAUGUGGUCUUCUGUGGAUCAUCUUAAUGAUGCUGAUAAGUCCGUAAUUGACAACAUUGAAAAUAUUGAAGAAUUGUUGUCAAAAGUUGAGAAAUUGAAAACUCAGAUUGAUACUGUGAUGAAUGAAAAUCCAGGUAUGUUCUGUUCCAUAACUCAAAUAAGCAAAAUUAGGCCAUCUAAUGGAUUUAAUUAUUUUGUUCAUAAUUCUGCUUCUUUUGCCGGUUACAGGUAGUUUUGCCGGUUACAAGUAGUUCUGUAACUCAUGAAGCAAAAGCUCCUUUGGUUUAAAAUAUCAAGAAUGAAGUUAUAAUUCAGAUUCAGACAGCUAAGGAAGAGUUGCAUGAUUUUAAGAAUGUUAUGGUAAAGUUUGAGGAUAAAUCAGUUGAAGAGCAGAAAUCCACAUCUCCAGCUCAAGUUUCGGACUCUGACAUGGACACUAAGAAUGUUGUAGCUAACAUUGGUUCUAUUAAGGCAUGUUCAUCAUCCAAGACUCAUUUCCCUAGGAACAUAAGGAGGGUAAAGAGGAAAUUUGGCCCUAGGAGUUCAAGCAGGAGAUAAUUGGUGGCAUUGAAUAUGUAAUUUGUGGAUACAAUGAUUUGCAACAUCAUCAUGUGUAAAUUGUGGUUUACUUGGUAUAUAUUUAACUGCAUCAAGAAAAGAGUUAUUUUUACAUUAUGUGAAUAUGGAUAGCAUGCUCUUUCUUCAAUUAUUUUUAUCUAUUGGAGAAAUCUUAUUUAAGGGAGUAUUGUUUGUUGAUGUACUUGAGGAUUAUUACUUCCAUAACUGAAUGAAUAUUUUCUUUUAUA